CAUCUGGCCUAGCCCCGUCUUCUCCCCUCCCCCCAACCUGAACCCCAAGUCCCCAACCUACCUGCAACUUCUCUCCCUGACAGCCAUGAGGCCAGAAGCGAGCCAGCAGUCCUGCACUCGGUGCACCCUGGUUUCCGGGUCCCAGCCUCCCAGGGCAGCCGCUCCGCUCGCCCUCCCUGAGGGCCUGGUCUGACCAUAGCCAUGCGCGAGUUGGCCAUGGCUCUCGGUGCACCCUGUCCAUGGCGUUGGCGCCGUUCGGCCGAACCCGGUUUGGACCAAGAAUUCGGUGCCGCACCGGAAUCCAGCAACCUGGUGUUCGAGCCGGCCGACCCACGACACGAGCCACCGGUCCAAGCCAACCCCGCCUGUGGGCCGUGGCUCGCUCGACCGGUCCAAGAGAAGAGAACCCGCAGCGCACCGCCGCAACAACUUGGGCGAAACUGCCCUCGGGGGAUCCUCUCAGUGAUCAUCCCCACGCGCGGGCCCCGGAUGGUUCAUCCAUAAACCCCCAGCAGGAGGGUUUUCGUCUCGCGCUCCCGCAUCCAGCAGGAGGGAGAAGAGAAAGCCCAGAGCUCGAUCCCCUCCACCAAGCAGCUCGCCCCUCUGGAUCUCCGUGACGAGCGCCUCCGCUCCGCCUCCCCGGCGCAACCGCGCAAGGAUCAAUGUUCCAGAAGAGAGUGAAUCUUGCUCAGGUACAAGUAUUCUUCCUAUUGCUUCCAAAGUAUAUGUUCGGUCUUAUUGUUCAUUUUGCCAAAUUUUCCUUUACAUCCCAAUUUUUUCCAUCGAUCCAAUAUUAUUGUGUCCAAGUCGUGUCUAGCCAACCACACGACCAGCCUGUCCUAUAAUUGGAAGCAGCAAACAGAAGAUCUGGACCCCGGGGAUGACUGUACUGAAGAUGCAAUGAAAAGACUGAUGGAGAGAAGAUCGCAAGAGCUUGUAGUUGCGUAUGGCUCAGUUGAUCUUUGGAUGUCUUUAAUAUCUUGUACUGUUUCGUUUUCAAUGUAUCCAAAAAAAAAAA